AGAGUUGUGGCUCAGUGGUAGAGUGCUCGCCUAGCAUGUGUGAGGCACUGGGUUCAAUUCUUAGCACCACAU
rfam:Ictidomys tridecemlineatus contig070164, whole genome shotgun sequence.